GAAUCAGCUAUUUCACUGAAUAAACAAUGGUCAUGGCAAAGUUUCACUCACGGGAAUCAGCUACAAUCACAGAAAUGUUUAUGACUGGUCUUAUACAAGUAGCAAGCUUCAGUUUCGCUCACAUGAAUAAGGGAUUUGUAUAUCUAUGCGACUAUGCCAUGUGUAUUGCACACUUUAUUUAGACACGCAUGCAAGGAAAAUAUAUUCAUGGCACAGUUUCAGUUUUGUGCCAUGAAGAGAGGUCGUCAAGUGUGCUGUCCAGAACAGAGAUGACCAUAUGUAUCAAGAAUGUUGAGGUAUGGAGAAAAUACACUCUCUCGGGAACACAAGCAGGUUGGUAUUUUUUUCCUGCAUUCUACUAGCAAAUACAAAUAGUUAAUUGGGCGCGGAAUAUAUCAAACUAAAAAAUGAAUUAUUAUUCCGUGAUGGUAGAAAAAGCAAGCUUCCCACAUAGCAAUUCAUACUGUGAUAUUAUGGGCAUAUACUAAAGUAUUUUGAGAAGCAUAGAAACAGUUAAUCUUGUUUGGUACCUUUCUUCUGUAGCGAUCGCUUCAGGUACAUAAUGUUGAUGUGCCAUCUGGUGUCCAAAGUAGAUAUGAAAGCUAGUAUAUUGUAUACAUAAAAAUUAUGCCAACGAUUUCUCUAUUUUGACCUUCUUUAAGUAGAUGUAUUUUCCAGAUAACAACUUCGCUUUAUUACCUCAAAAUUGAUCAACUGGUGUGCCAAUGAAUAGAGCUAUAGAAUUCGAUAGGGUCUGUACUCAUGUAUUCCCAGAUCCUUGCAAUUCGGACAGUAAACAUCCAGCGAUAGGACAUCCUGUUCACGUCCUU
rnacentral:lncRNA from 1 species